CGGAGCCCCGCGGGCUGUGCUGGGCGGCGGGAGAGCGGCGAGAGGGAACGGGCCGAUACACGGCCUUCUACACGGACCCAAUCACCGGCACCGUCACGAGUUAACGGUGGGAAAGGAAAAAAGCAGAGGAUGCAUCCCCGAGAAAUCAUGUUCUUUCAGCACGAUUUGCUGCCAGACAUCCACCUCCACUCAAGAGGACCACACUUUAUUAUGAUCUACACGCACAAAUGCAGAUGACAUAGGUAUCUACAGAGGUCAGCAGUACACUGGGCUGAGGGCAUCGUAGAGCCUCUGUGCAGCCAGUUCCACCAUUUCACGCAGGGAUUCGUCGUCUUCACUUCCUGGCUCACAGUCAGCUGUCUGAGAACAAAAAAAGAAGUAUAUGAGAACAACCAGCACAUCAGAUUGUUUUUCAGAAUACCAGCAAUGUUCGUGCAUAAGGGGAAAAGAAAGAGCAGUCACACAAAUUACAGCUAUGGUUAUCAAGAGCUUUCAGCUGCAAUUUCUGUUCUUAAAUGUUCCACCACUGUGUGGAAUUGUACAGUGAAGAGCUGCAUACACCUUGCCAAAGAUGAUGAAAAAUAACGUCAUGUUUGAUGAGUUCUUUGCUUCAUGCUAUGUGAAAUGUCUUAAGUUCCGUAGCUUGCAACUGAUUCAAAAUCAAAUAAAAACACACAAUGUCA